rnacentral:lncRNA from 1 species
GCGAGAAAUCAAACUUCGAACAGGACAAGCCCGAAGCCCGCUUCUCCGGGAGACGGGGUGCCACAAUUGCAAGGACCCUUGCUCCACAGAAUUCUUUGCCUGGAAUUUUCUUCCCAGAAUCUUUGCAUGUCAUUCCCUCUGUUGCUGAGUUACCGGGAUCUCAAUGUAAACGUUACGUACUGACAGAGGCUGCUGUGAACUGAAUUGCGUGCUUCCCAAAAUUCAUAUGUUGAUACUGUCACCCCCGGUACCUAAGGAUGUGACUACAUUUGGAGAUAGCAUCAUCAAAGAGGAGUUCUGCAAUAAAAUGCCUGCUUUCUCCACCAGAUGGUAUUCACAAAAAUAGCUCACAUUAUGUUUUGCUUGUUUGCAAGUCAACAAGAUGAGGUCACCGAAAAGGUCUAACUGAUUCUGUCUGCUCAGGAAUGUUUCAGGCUUGGUCUCCCUUUUAAUUUACCUCGUAAAUCAUUUUGUAAUUUUUAUCUCCUACCCAUUCUGUAACUUGUUAAUUACUUUUAUACACAUGUAAUAUCUUUUAUGUGUGAUUUCUAAGUAUAUUACUAGUGAACAUUGACUGUUACAAGGCAUACCUUGUCUUAUUGCAAUUUAUUGUGCUUCCCAAGUGUUGGAUUUCUUACAAAUUGAGGGGUUUUGGCAACCUUACCUUCAGUGACUCUGUCAACAAUAUUUUUUCCAACACCAUGUGAUCUGUGUGUGUGUGUGUAUCUUUGUCAGCAUUUUUAUCAAUAAAGUACAUUUUUUAUUAAGGUA